GACUGCUAUCGGAUGAUACUAAGCCAUGCGAGUCUUUGUAGUAAUACAAGGCAUACGGCUCAGUAACACGUAGUCAACCUACCCUAUGGACAAGAAUAAUCUCGGGAAACUGGGCAUAAUUCUUGAUAGAUCAUAAUGCCUGGAAUGGUUUAUGGUUAAAAUGAUUCGUCGCCAUAGGAUGGGACUGCGGCCUAUCAGCUUGUUGGUGAGGUAAUGGCCCACCAAGGCGAUUACAGGUACGGGCUCUGAGAGGAGAAGCCCGGAGAUGGGUACUGAGACACGGACCCAGGCCCUAUGGGGCGCAGCAGGCGAGAAAACUUUGCAAUGUGCGAAAGCACGACAAGGUUAAUCCGAGUGAUUUCUGCUAAAGAAAUCUUUUGCCAGUCGUAAAACCACUGGCGAAUAAGGGGUGGGCAAGUUCUGGUGUCAGCCGCCGCGGUAAAACCAGCACCUCAAGUGGUCAGGAUGAUUAUUGGGCCUAAAGCAUCCGUAGCCGGCUUUGUAAGUUUUCGGUUAAAUCCAUGUGCUCAACGCAUGGGCUGCCGAAAAUACUGCAUGGCUAGGGAGUGGGAGAGGUAGACGGUACUCAGUAGGAAGGGGUAAAAUCCUUUGAUCUAUUGAUGACCACCUGUGGCGAAGGCGGUCUACCAGAACACGUUCGACGGUGAGGGAUGAAAGCUGGGGGAGCAAACCGGAUUAGAUACCCGGGUAGUCCCAGCCGUAAACGAUGCAGACUCGAUGAUGCAUUGGCAUAAUAGCCAAUGCAGUGUCGCAGGGAAGCCGUUAAGUCUGCCGCCUGGGAAGUACGUACGCAAGUAUGAAACUUAAAGGAAUUGGCGGGGAGCACACAAGGGUGAAGCUGCGGU
rnacentral:rRNA from 1 species